rnacentral:lncRNA from 1 species
GUGGCUGGAUCGGUGCACGGUGCCCAGGGAGCGGUGCCUCGACGAGGACAAGGAGCAUAGAGAGACUCCAUCAGAAUACGACCAAAAGAGGCAGCAGCUCCUCCUUCACCCCGUAGUCCAGUGGCCGAUGCUCUCAGCCAGAAUGUGGCUGACCCAUUUGUUGUUUCCUGGCUAAUCUUCAACCACUGUGGAGACCACCGUAAUGUGGUUGCUUUUGUGGAGACCAUAUCACCGGCUGCUGCAAACAUGCAGAGCACUGGAGAAGAAAAUAGAUGGGAAAAGGAGGACAUUCAAGUGUUGGGCCUUGAGGAUAUCAUCAGGCUCUGAAACUACUGGCAUGGCUGCACAUUUGUGGACUGCCUCUCAGCCCAAGCUUAUCACUACCACUGGCCAGCCUCUCCAUCAAACACCGGACUGCCUUUUCCUCAGACCAGCUGCACCCCCAAAUUCUCUGGCUGAUGAAUUUGGACUUUCCAGGAGAUCUACUCUGGGUCUGGGUGCUGGAGCUAUCAGAGCUAGCAGAUGCAGAGAGCUGGCAAGUCUGCUUUUGUAUCUUCUCAGUUUGAGUGGAGGCUGGGAAGGUCUUUCUGAUCUAUUUCCAGAUGGCAUAAUAUAUGUGGCUUUGAUGCAUUUGCUACAAAAUGGCAAUCGAGCACACUCCAGGAUCCCAAUUUUAUGUUAA